rnacentral:rRNA from 1 species
GACGAACGCUGGCGGCGUGCUUAACACAUGCAAGUCGAGCGGUAAGGCCCUUCGGGGUACACGAGCGGCGAACGGGUGAGUAACACGUGGGUGACCUGCCCUCAGCUCUGGGAUAAGCCUGGGAAACCGGGUCUAAUACCGGAUAUGACCAUUGGAUGCAUGUCUGGUGGUGGAAAGCCAGUUACUUUUGUUUCUGGCGGCUGGGGAUGGGCCCGCGGCCUAUCAGCUUGUUGGUGGGGUGAUGGCCUACCAAGGCGGUGACGGGUAGCCGGCCUGAGAGGGCGACCGGCCACACUGGGACUGAGACACGGCCCAGACUCCUACGGGAGGCAGCAGUGGGGAAUAUUGCGCAAUGGGCGGAAGCCUGACGCAGCGACGCCGCGUGGGGGAUGACGGCCUUCGGGUUGU